rnacentral:lncRNA from 10 species
AUUGAAUUCAGAGCCUCACAAUUGCUGUGUUCUACUUCGCCUAGCAACCAGAGAUGAUCCCUGCAACAUGCUGCUGUUGCUGGGAGUGGGAAAGAGGUGGCAUCGGCGGUUCAAGACUGAGUUUUCUAUCUCUUCAGUGCCUCUUUCAACAAUGAAGAUCAAACCAGGUUUUGUGCAAAUAUCUGCUGAGUGAACUACUUAUUUGAAAAUACAUCAUUGGUUAAUAUUCCCUUUUGCUCAUUGAAAUCUCAAAGACUACAGACCCCGCACAAGACAUUCUGACAUUCCCGUCUUUGAAAUGAAUGACAGCAAUGAUAAAUAUGGCUCACCUCCAGAGAUACAGAUCUCACAACUUCAUAUUUUUAAUAUAAAUUAUUAAUCUGAGGUGUGGUGCAAUUCCAUUAGAUGAAAGAGAUCUACACAUUCAGAAGCACAUGAUUCUUCCCCCUUCCAUGAUUCCAGUGGCCAAUAGACAAACUACAAUAAAGCCAUGCCCUGACUGGAUGUGCCUAACAUUUGUCUGGUGCUUAAAGGAGUUGGCUGCAUGCGUGGAAAUGUUGGAAAGUCACCAAAAAUAGUUCUCCAAGUCAGAAGCGGUGCAAAAGCUGCCUCAGCUCUUGGUGGAUUUUCAAUUUCUCCCAGCCAUCUCUGUUUCGCUAAAGGUUUCUGAAGACAGUGGAAUGCUGUUGAAGACACCACCUUGAUAAAACAAAAACAUCAGCCAAAUUAAAUUUAAAGGAGUUUAAUUGAGCAAAGAAUUAUUCAUGAAUCAAGCAGUCUUCCAAGCCAGAGUAGGCUCAAAUACUCCAGCACAGCCACGUGGUGGAAGAUUUAUGGACAAAAGAAGAAAAGUAACAUAUAGAAAAUGGAAAUGAGGGGAAGCUUUUUUCUCCUCCCCAUCCUGAUCACUAGUAUGAGAAGGGGUGCUAAUGGACCAGCCUUGGCCUUGCAGAUGAAGAUGAUGAAGGAAGAAGAUGUAUAAAGAACCUCUGAAAGAGUCCCAGUUUUACAUUUCAAAGUCUUUUUCCUUCUGUUGUUUAUUGUGUUGGGUUGGAGUGGAGGAUAUUUGAUGGAGAAUUGAUUCUGAAACUUGCCAAAAUAUGGAUAAUACUUUGCUCCUUUUCCAUUGUGGGUUAUCACAAAGAAGAGUUUCACUUUUAGUCAUCUAUUUACAGGUACGGCAAUAGCUAUUUUCUUUUUCUUUUUUUUAUUUUAGGUUUUAUUUUAGGUACAUGUGAAGGUUUCUUGUAUAGGUAAACUAGUGUCAUGUGGGAUUGUUGCACAGAUUAUUUUAUCAACCAGGUAUUAAGGAAGCUCAGUACCCAAUAGUUAUAUUUUCUGCUCCUCUCCCUCAUCCCACUCUCCACCCUGAGGUCGACCCCAGUGUCUGUUGUUUCCUUCUUUCUGUUAAUGAGUUCUCAUCAUUUAGCUCCCACUUAUAAGUGAGAACAUGUGCUAUGUGUUUUUCUGUUCCUGUGUUAGUUGGCUAAGGAUAAUGGCCUCCAGCUCCAUUUUUGUUUCCCUCUCCAGCAUCUGUUUUUUUUUUUAAUUUUUAGUAAUAUCCAUUCUGACUGGUAUGAGAUGGUAUCUCAUUGUGGUUCUGACUUGCAUUUCUGUAAUGGUCAAUGAUGUUCAGCUUUUCUUUUCAUGUGCUUGUUGCCCACAUGUAUGUUUUGUUUUGAAAAGUGUUUGUUCGUGUCCUUUAUCCACUUUUCAAUGGGGUUGUUUGCUUUUCUCUCGUAAAUUUGUUUAAUUUCCUUAUAGAUGUUAUGACCUAGCAGCUGUACCUUUUUUAAUUUCAAGACAUUCAAUAAACUAAGAACCAACAGCACAGUUGAUGUGUCUUUCCAUGACACCUGCCAUCUUUCCUCUCUUCAUAGCUAUAAGAAUAUUUUGGAAGAAGAGUUGCUGAUAAAUGCCACUUAGGGAAUCUCUGAGCAUCUGUUAUUAUAAAUGGUUGACUAAAAUUUAGGGUAAAGCAUCCUAUUAAAAAUGAAGUUAAGGACUUUAUGUAGAACUUUAAAAUUUGUCCCCCAAAUCCUGUUGUAUGUCAACAUAUUAUAAAAUAAAUUGUAAAUAUCAUAACUCAGCAAAAGAACAUCAUCUAAAACUCAUUAAGAAUUUAAUGUUGAGUAUAUCAGUGACACAAAAUCAUGAGGCAAGAUGGUUUAAAUAUGUUACAAAUAAUAAUAAAUAAUCAUACCCUCUGAGUUUAAAUUCUUUAUCACCCUGUAUGUACUGCCACUCAACACUUGACUUCAGGGCCAUAAUCCUUAGUGAACCCAUCUAACAUCCACCUAAAAUAAAGGUUUGGAGCCACUCUUCUAUGCUUAACAAAUAGCCUUAAGCAUCAUGAAUAAACAGAGACAGGCUAGCUCCUUUUUGCUCUAUAGCCUUAAGUAGUUCUGACCAUGACUAGAAAGACAUAGCUGCAAGCAGCCUGAUCUUUUUUUAACAUCUUGACUUUUUGCAAGGUAUUUCUAAAAUAUGUUACUAAUAUGUACUUCUUGGUUGUUUUACUAAUAUUUGAAAGAACUAAAGUUAUCAUUAGUCACGUUUCAUUUGAAACUACAGAAGCAAUAAAAACAACAAAGUUCCAAUAUAAAAUCCAUUAUUAAAUAGCUUUCAACAUAAUAGAUUAUUUACUACAAAAUAGCAA